rnacentral:SRP_RNA from 1 species
UCGUGCUAGACGGGGAGCCAGCGGUGCCCUGAACUCGCAAUCCGCUAUAGCGGGGUCGAAUUCCUGCUUGAGGCCUUUGUCUGGUGGGACUACCCGGGUUAAGUGGUGUUGAAGGCCGGGUCCUGCGCGGCAGAGCUCUAUGAAUCCCGUCAGAUCUGAGAGGAAGCAGCGGUAAAUAGAAGCCCUGGGUGCCGCAGGGUUACCUGGCUGGAGCCGGCUGGCUUCGGGCAAGCUGCGGGGCGGGGUCGAGGGUGGGUGCACGG